rnacentral:rRNA from 1 species
GGCGGCGUGCCUAAUACAUGCAAGUAGAACGCUGAAGGAGGAGCUUGCUUCUCUGGAUGAGUUGCGAACGGGUGAGUAACGCGUAGGUAACCUGCCUGGUAGCGGGGGAUAACUAUUGGAAACGAUAGCUAAUACCGCAUAAUAGUAGAUGUUGCAUGACAUUUGCUUAAAAGGUGCAAUUGCAUCACUACCAGAUGGACCUGCGUUGUAUUAGCUAGUUGGUGGGGUAACGGCUCACCAAGGCGACGAUACAUAGCCGACCUGAGAGGGUGAUCGGCCACACUGGGACUGAGACACGGCCCAGACUCCUACGGGAGGCAGCAGUAGGGAAUCUUCGGCAAUGGACGGAAGUCUGACCGAGCAACGCCGCGUGAGUGAAGAAGGUUUUCGGAUCGUAAAGCUCUGUUGUAAGAGAAGAAACGAGUGUGAGAAGUGGAAAGUUCACAACUGUGAACGGAU